rnacentral:ncRNA from 1 species
CAGAGUAGGGCCCGCUUCGUUAAGUGCCGCCAAAAUGGGGAGUUGUCUGGCGGACGAAGGCGAUGGGACGCGUUGGAUGCGCCGUGGCGCAUCUGAUGGACGCACCCCGAUCCGCCGCGGUUGCCGGCCCGCACCCGCUG